rnacentral:tRNA from 1 species
GCGGGUAUAGUACAAUGGUUAGUACAUGGGUUUUCCAAACCUAGGAUGCGGGUUCGAUUCCCGCUACCCGCUCCA